UACAGAGACUGCAAGCGUUAUUCGGAUUCACUGGGCGUAAAGGGUGCGCAGGCGGCCGUGUGUGUGAGGUGUGAAAGCCUGGGGCUUAACCCCAGAAAUGCGCCUCAAACUACAUGGCUAGAGCAUUGGAGAGGGUAGCAGAAUUCAUGGUGUAGCAGUGAAAUGCGUAGAUAUCAGGAGGAACACCAAUGGCGAAGGCAGGUCUCUGGGCCACAACUGACGCUGAGGAGCGAAAGCAUGGGGAGCGAACAGG
rnacentral:rRNA from 1 species